UCUCAUGUCUCAUCCUGAAAAGCAAGUUCACUUCUGCUGAAAAGGUCCAAUGAAAAACUCCCUCCGGUCUUUAUAAACAUCCAGAAGUGAAAGGAAUUUCAGAGCUGCUGUUCAACACGACAGUUCAGAUCAGGAAAAGAAAAAAUUUCAAAUAUUAUCGGAGCUCUGCCCCUCACCUCUGCCCUGGACUCCCGAUUGGCCACACACAAGAAAAUACAAUUUUGACAAAAGAAAGAAGAACGGAGCAUCUGACUACUGGACCAUCAUCCUGCAGAUUCCCUCCAAAUUAUUUAAGAACCACAUAGAGUACAGCUUAAAAAAAUACCACAUAAGUGAUGUUCAGAUACUAAACAGAGCUGAUUUUGACUUACAUAAAAAGAAUCAAAACUUUGAAACUAAAUUUGAUUGUAUCAUAUAAAAUAUUUCAUAAUUAAAUUCUGAAAUCUGCAGCACUACCAUAGUUACCAGAACACCAUGGCGACCAAUGAGCAAGCAAAGAGCAGGGAGAUUGUUUACCCAAAUAAUUAUACUACUAGGGCGAGCAGGAGAAAAUACAAAAAGGACACCUUGGAAAAAAAUCCUGAUACUCUUUAUGCUGACUACAAAUAUCAGACCAGUGGUGACACAAGAGAAAGAUUCGACUUAAUCUUCUACACCACACUGAUUGCUGAAUGGAAAUCAGCCAUCGAUGAUGAAUAUCAGCAUGUUGUAAAAAAUGGAGAAAGAUUUACCAUAUUUCGAGAUGAAAUGCAUAAUCCAAAUAAUCCCAUUCUCACAAUACAUUUUUACACAACUGGCACUGUGCUUGUGCAAAGCCAUGAGAAAAACCUAAAAUUAUUUGAAGAAACCUUUGAGAAGCUGAAAGCCAGAGUGUACAGAGAGAGAGACCAGGUCCAAAUGAACAACCCAAAUAAUCCUCCACCUCCACCAUCUGACAAUCAGCGUAGAGAUGGAGAAGAAAGAGCUGAAGAAAGAGACCAGCCACAAACACAAAAGUCCUCCAUCACUGAUGAUUUCAUUAAACUGUCUGUUAAGUAAAUUACAGAUAAGGGAAUGUUUCCAUGUUACGAUUGUUUUAUUAUUAUCAUCAUUACUCUUCUAUGUAUCUUCCUGGUCGUAUUUUCUCUCAUUUUUAAUCAUAAGUUUGUGCAUCAAGGUUUUGUUGUCAGAUUCAUAUUACUUCCUAAAUAUUUCCACCUGUAUUAGAGCAUUGUUUGUCCCAUUCACUAUGCCUUCAUUACAUUCUAAAACAUUCCAUAUUUAUGAAUGCCACCACACCUUAAACAUCUCCAUUUACCCUUUCACACUGCAGCAACAUGUCUGUAUUUUUGGCAUUUAAAGAGUCAAAGUGGUGGAGGUAUGUAAGGUUUAACUGCAUAAUUUACACAUCCAAUAUCUGUCCUCAUCAAAUUGUAUGAAGACAGAUAUACACAACACCUUUUUAUUUUUACUUUUAAAGGGAGGGGGAAACCACUAACCAUUUUAUCACUUUAUUAUACUUAACUGUAUAAAACAAUAAAGCUUAACCACACAAAAA